rnacentral:rRNA from 1 species
UACGGAGGGGGCGAGCGUUAUUCGGAAUUAUUGGGCGUAAAGGGCGCGUAGGCGGCUCGAUAAGUCAAAGGUGAAAUCCCUCGGCUCAACUGAGGAACUGCCUUUGAAACUGUAGAGCUUGAGUCCGGGAGGGGGUAGCGGAAUUCCCAGUGUAGCGGUGAAAUGCGUAGAUAUCUGGAGGAACACCGGUGGCGAAGGCGGCAUCCUGGACCGGUAUUGACGCUGAGGCGCGAAAGCCAGGGGAGCAAACGGGG